GCCCUUUUCACGAGGCCCCCCGCCCCUAUAUUCACCGUGUCGGCGCAAGUCGGCUAUGGCGAUAAACGGUGAGUGAAAUAAGCCUUUCGGACCCGGGGGCGGUACCCGGCGCCUCCACCCAAGCCCAUGAACGUCCAGUGGACAAACGUGGGUUUCGGCGGGGCGAAAUAGGAUCGACGAGGGUGUAAAGACUUUUCUUUCGCUCGGCAUGGUUCCGCCGUUAUCGGGCCAAACCUGUAGUUGCAAAUGACAACUAUGCUAUGGACAACGCUGUCGCUGCGUAAUGCAGUGCCGGUAGUCCGCUUAAGCCCUUGCGGUUAGCACCGUAAGGCGGGGUUUGAAGGCACCUGGCAACAGAAGCCUUCGCU
rnacentral:tmRNA from 1 species